rnacentral:rRNA from 1 species
GAGUUUUGAUCCUGGCUCAGGAUGAACGCUAGCUACAGGCUUAACACAUGCAAGUCGAGGGGCAGCGGGGGUAGCAAUACCCGCCGGCGACCGGCGCACGGGUGAGUAACGCGUAUGCAACUUACCUAUCAGAGGGGGAUAACCCGGCGAAAGUCGGACUAAUACCGCAUGAAGCAGGGAUCCCGCAUGGGAAUAUUUGCUAAAGAUUCAUCGCUGAUAGAUAGGCAUGCGUUCCAUUAGGCAGUUGGCGGGGUAACGGCCCACCAAACCGACGAUGGAUAGGGGUUCUGAGAGGAAGGUCCCCCACAUUGGUACUGAGACACGGACCAAACUCCUACGGGAGGCAGCA